GCCUUCGUGGUGUAACGGUAACACACUCGGCGUGUAUUCCAGAGGUCCAGGUUCGAGUCCCGGCGAGGACA
rnacentral:tRNA from 1 species